GGGUGUAAACACGCCGCCGCCGCUCCACUCAUCACUCAACCCGCUCAGACUCCAUGUUCAUCUCCUUCCCAGAUCAUCACAGAUCAUCCCCUCUGCUCCAUGACGACAUUAAUCCCCCUCCGGAUUGACGGUUUAUUGUCACUGACCGGGUCCCCGGAGCAGGAUGCGGUUCACUCACAGUGCAGCCGAGCGAGACGCGGAUGAAGGAUUCGGGGGGCGUGUCGCUGAAAACCAGCAGGUUGAGCAGACCACUAGGGCUGAGCGAUACGACUUCACUCUCCUCCUCGAUCCAAUACCAAAUACUUUCAGGACAUAUCGCUACCGAUACCAAUGUCAAUUCAUGUUUUACCUAACAGUCCUAAACUGUGGAGCAUUAACACCUUGUACUUCUUUAAUCAUUUGAGAUACAGUAACUCGUCUGUUGGAUUUGUCCACACGGACCAGCAUUCAUUCCCAACGUGCAUCAAUAAGCCUCAGCCGCCCACGACCCAGUCACCGGUUCACCACUGUUCAUUCCUUUGAGUACUUUUGUUAGACGCAGACCAGGAGACCACAAGAACUGCAGUUCUGGAGAUGAUUUGACCCAGUCGUCUAGACCAGUGUUCCCCAACCUUUUUUUGCACCACAAACCAGUUUAAUGUCAGACCAUAUUUUCACGGACCCGGACCGGCCUGUAAGGUGUGGUGGAUAAAUACAACUAAAUAAGAUACGACCAUAAAAACUGAUAUUUUCUAAAUAUAAUAAUAAACGUGAAUCCACUGUG